rnacentral:rRNA from 1 species
GGNNAAUUCGAGUUANNAACUCAUCAACCCUGUGAACAUACCUAUAACGUUGCCUCGGCGGGAACAGACGGCCCCGUAACACGGGCCGCCCCCGCCAGAGGACCCCCUAACUCUGUUUCUAUAAUGUUUCUUCUGAGUAAACAAGCAAAUAAAUUAAAACUUUCAACAACGGAUCUCUUGGCUCUGGCAUCGAUGAAGAACGCAGCGAAAUGCGAUAAGUAAUGUGAAUUGCAGAAUUCAGUGAAUCAUCGAAUCUUUGAACGCACAUUGCGCCCGCCAGUAUUCUGGCGGGCAUGCCUGUUCGAGCGUCAUUACAACCCUCAGGCCCCCGGGCCUGGCGUUGGGGAUCGGCGGAAGCCCCCUGCGGGCACAACGCCGUCCCCCAAAUACAGUGGCGGUCCCGCCGCAGCUUCCAUUGCGUAGUAGCUAACACCUCGCAACUGGAGAGCGGCGCGGCCACGCCGUAAAACACCCAACUUCUGAAUGUUGACCUCGAAUCAGGUAGGAAUACCCGCUGAACUUAAGCAUAUCAAUAAGCCGGAGAA